rnacentral:rRNA from 1 species
UACGUAGGGGGCAAGCGUUAUCCGGAUUUACUGGGUGUAAAGGGAGCGUAGACGGAAUUGCAAGUCUGAUGUGAAAAUCCGGGGCCCAACCCCGGAACUGCAUUGGAAACUGUAUUUCUAGAGUGUAGGAGAGGCAAGUGGAAUUCCUGGUGUAGCGGUGAAAUGCGUAGAUAUCAGGAGGAACACCAGUGGCGAAGGCGGCUUGCUGGACGAUGACUGACGUUGAGGCUCGAAAGCGUGGGGAGCAAACAGG